GACGAACGCUGGCGGCGUGCCUAAUACAUGCAAGUAGAACGCACAGUUUAUACCGUAGCUUGCUACACCAUAGACUGAGAGUUGCGAACGGGUGAGUAACGCGUAGGUAACCUGCCUGGUAGCGGGGGAUAACUAUUGGAAACGAUAGCUAAUACCGCAUAAUAUUGAUUAUUGCAUGAUAAUUGAUUGAAAGAUGCUAUUGCAUCACUACCAGAUGGACCUGCGUUGUAUUAGCUAGUAGGUGAGGUAACGGCUCACCUAGGCGACGAUACAUAGCCGACCUGAGAGGGUGAUCGGCCACACUGGGACUGAGACACGGCCCAGACUCCUACGGGAGGCAGCAGUAGGGAAUCUUCGGCAAUGGACGAAAGUCUGACCGAGCAACGCCGCGUGAGUGAAGAAGGUUUUCGGAUCGUAAAGCUCUGUUGUAAGAGAAGAACGGGUGUGAGAGUGGAAAGUUCACACUGUGACGGUAUCUUACCAGAAAGGGACGGCUAACUACGUG
rnacentral:rRNA from 1 species